CGCGCAAGAGCACGUGACCGCUGCUGGCUCUAAGCGUUGAUUGCGUUGCGCCCAGCCUGUGUACUCCCGCACAAAAUAUCCUUCAAGCAUUGUGAGAGGUUCAGUUAGCAAUAAAGCAUAGCGUAGCAAGGGCCUAAGGUGGCUGAUUUGGAAAGGAGGAAGGAGUAAAGAGUAAGCGUUUGGAAUCUCUGUUUUGAACUCGAGCAUGCGAAGACUGGGACCCAAUACAGAUUUGGCCUUUCACAAUUUAGAGGAGGAGUUUGGUGCGAAGGGAUCAUGCCUCUGGCCCCGAGGCAACCAGAAUUAAGGAAUCCUACGUUAGUGAUGUGCAUAUGUAAGCUUGCAGGGAACUGCUGUUGUCUUCAUUAAUAGGAACAAUUAGAAAUGGCUAUGUUAAGAUAGCAAGAGGCAGUAUGGUAACCAUAGUUGAUCACCUUGUAUUUUGUUUUUACAUUAUGUAUUAUGUCCAUCCUUUUGAUUUGAUUGACUGUUCUGUUAUGUCACAUUUGGUUUUACUCUCUUCAAAAAAAAAAGUAGUAAGAACUGUGGAAGUAAUAAAACCCAAAAUGUGUAAUUGUCAUUGUACAAAAGAAAGGAAAAGAAAGUGCUCUAAAGGAUAUAACUGCAUAUAUAUUUAAGUGUAUAAGAUAGAUAACCAUAUUAUUGAGUUUUGUUGGAUCAUUGAACAGAACUGUUUGCAGUCUCAGUGUUUGAAUGUCCACUUUAUAUGCUUUAAUUUUGUAACUUGAGCAACUAUUUCUAAGAUAACAAUAUGUAAUCUAUUAACUAGUGAUUUCCUACUGUUUAUUUUUUCUGAAAUUCUGUAUAACUUGUACCCUUUUUCUGUUUUUUUUUUUGUUUUUUUUUUUUUUGCCCUUAAAUAAAAAAAAAAAAAUCGCUAUGGCUGUAGCUGCUCCAAAAAGGUGGUGGAGCAAGGUUACUGCACACUCCUCUGUGUAAUCUUCCAUGCUAAGAGCUGAGGGCGAACUCAGAUACCUGAAAUUGGUGUACAAAGGCAGAAAAGCUCAGGUCUCCCGUUAAAAGGGUAGCAUAUAAAGACUUAAUAGAAAUUUAAUUUAAUCCAGGCACAGGGAAAAAUGCAAUCCCUUUGCAUUUUCAUUCCUUCGUUGAGCAUUCCCUGACUGCCCACUGUGUGGCAGGCACUGCUAGAUGAGAUACAAGAUCAGUAAGUUAGAUUCUUUCCCCACAGUAAUCAGCUUAGGGGGCAAGCAAGCAGGUAAAUAUAAACUGCAUUAAGGAAUGACAAGUCUGAAGGCAAAGUGGUCUAUCCUUCCAGUAUCCUUUAUCGAGGUCACCUAUAGAGACCUGGAACCUGCUAAACAAAAACUUUCUCCAAAAGAUCCAGAAAAAGAUUGGUGGCCCACUGUGACAGUGUCCCUUUCUGAGUACAGUCCAGGUCACUUGGAUUCCUGAGCUGAACUCUUAAUUACCUAGUGUCUCCGGUGAAACCCAAAGGAAAAGAAGAUCUCUGACUUUCAGUGCCCAUAUAUCCUCAGAAUCAACUAAUGAAAGGUCACUACUUUAGUAUGGCCUAUCCCAUGCCACUGUACUAAAUGGCUCUCACAAGAAGACAUCCAUGGUUUCAGAGUGAAAGAAGAACCUUGGGGUUAGUCUCCUCAGUCAUGGAUGGAAAAGAAUGUCUGCCAGGAAAUUAACUCCUCUAGUCCUUUUCCAUUGCUAUUUUGGACAAGAAAGUGUUUGGAAAUCGGUCUUCAAGGCAUUUGACCAGAAGUUUCAAGAGUUGAGGGGUCCAAUCUGGCGCUCUUCUAAGGUACAUCAAACCCCAAGUCGCAGCCCCUGGCAAUGGCUCUCCAGGCUCUCCACACAUUCCUUCCAGCCUUAUCUUGCAUCAAAACAGCACCCCAGCCUCACCGCGCUGGGAGCGCUGGCUGAGGGCUCCCUCGCCCUCUCAAGCGGCUGCUCCCGCUGCUGGAACCCCGGGACUGCUGGCCGCAGGCGCAGAGGUGACGGCUGUAAGAUGGCCUCGGGGAGAAGCUACGCUGCCCCGCCGGGCCGAGAGGAGGCGACG